rfam:Oryza meridionalis cultivar OR44 (W2112) chromosome 6, whole genome shotgun sequence.
UCACGGUGUACUCCCUAGUUUCCGUGUCCAAUAUUUGACUAUCCAUUUUAUAUGAAUUUUUUUAUAUAAUUAGUAUCUUUAUUGUUGUUAGAUGAUAAAAUAUGAUUAAUACUUUAUACUUAACUUGUCUUUUUAAUUUUUUUAAAUAAAACGGACGGUCAAACGUUGCACACGAAAAACUAGGAUUUGUCUCAUU